ACAUGCCUACAACAUAACAUUAAUACACUGAAUCCCAUUAGAACUUCACAGUUAAGCGCGCUCAUGCUAGAGUAGUACUAGAAUGGGUGACUGCUUGGGAAGUCCUAGUCUUUUACAUGCC
rnacentral:rRNA from 1 species